CACUAAGAAGCUAAAACGGUUAUUAGCGUUAGCCUUUUAAGCUAAAAACUGGUGGCCACCACCCACCCUUAGUGA
rnacentral:tRNA from 1 species